AGUGAACGCUGGCGGUAGGCCUAACACAUGCAUGUCGAACGGCAGCACAGUAAGAGCUUGCUCUUACGGGUGGCGAGUGGCGGACGGGUGAGGAAUACAUCGGAAUCUACUUUUUCGUGGGGGAUAACGUAGGGAAACUUACGCUAAUACCGCAUACGACCUACGGGUGAAAGCAGGGGAUCUUCGGACCUUGCGCGAUUGAAUGAGCCGAUGUCGGAUUAGCUAGUUGGCGGGGUAAAGGCCCACCAAGGCGACGAUCCGUAGCUGGUCUGAGAGGAUGAUCAGCCACACUGGAACUGAGACACGGUCCAGACUCCUACGGGAGGCAGCAGUGGGGAAUAUUGGACAAUGGGAGCAAGCCUGAUCCAGCCAUACCGCGUGGGUGAAGAAGGCCUUCGGGUUGUAAAGCCCUUUUGUUGGGAAAGAAAAGCAGCAGGUUAAUAACCCGCUGUUCUGACGGUACCCAAAGAAUAAGCACCGGCUAACUUCGUG
rnacentral:rRNA from 1 species